GUAUAUUAGUUUGUGUAAAAUAAUUUGGAUCAUAAGGUCCUAGUUGAAUUUAAAAAUACUUAAAAUUUCCUGCUCCAGGUUCGAAACUCGUCUGGGUAAAUGGCCACCAGAUAAAGAUUAUGUUAUAAAAUUUGCAAUCAAUUCAGUAUGGAUAUUAAAGAGAUCUCCGUUUUUUGUCUACAAAUAUAGGAGCCACAAUGUACUCUGAGACUGGCUCAGAGCUGUGGCUCUAUUGGUAACAGUGUAGACUGUAGAUUUUGAAUCUUGGUGAUGGCAUUUCUUCAAGUCUCCUAUCCCCAAUAUGUUUUAAUCUGAUCCCAAGUCAAAUUCCUUUAAACAUACCAACCGAUGAUAUGUUCAGUUUAGGGUAACUUUGCUUGUUGGUGGGGAAAGUCAGCCGUGAGUCUUUGUUAUAAUGAUGAGCUAAGCUCUCCUAUAGCUUUCACUUAGAAUAUUUGUAUAGUGUCCCUAAUUUGGAUUGCACUCCUUAAUGUUCUCUUGCAUUUUCAACUUCCCCUCUGUGUACUGUCUUUUGAGCUGCCAGGUGCUUUUCUUGGGAUGGGAGUAUGGAGACCAAUUAGACAUAGUCCCUGCUGUCAAGGACUUCUCAGUCUAGUGCAAGAGAUCAACAUGUAAAUAUAAUUACAAGUCUGCAGUAUGUUUUACAAUGGAGGUAUGCACAAAAUCUGUGGGUUUCAGAAAUCAUUUUCACCCAGUGACAUAUCAGGGUCAACUGUGUGGAGCAUGUUCUGAGGAUUCUGCUUGAUUGGAGUCGAUAGUUCUGAAAUGUCAAUCUCACCAAUCCAAGGAUGAGUAAAUCCUUCCAGUGUGCAUUGACUCAAAUAGUCGGCCUUAUAGUCUCCGGGAUAAGAUUUUUAAAAGCAAAAUCACAGAUAUUGGAAUGAGGAGUUUGGGGAGCUACAAAUAGUUCAUGAAAUUAGAUGGGAUAUCUUUGCAGAAAUAGGUACUUAAAUUAUUAUGCCACAGAAAAGACCAGAAAAGGUAAAAGUAGGGAAAAGGGAGAGCCUCUUAAUUAGUUGUAACACUCUGGUUCAAUUAGGGUGGCAAUCAGGGAAAAGUCAAGGCAUUAUGAGUUCACUUCUCACCCUUGGCCUUAAUGAGAAAUCCUCUUGUUUCCUUUGGAUUUUAUUGGGGCUUUCUUUUGGUCCAUAGCCUGCUUUACAGACUAUAUCUGUUGAGUGCAUUGAUUGCCAAGGAAAUGUCAAAUCAGCAGUAGAUAUUUUCACAUACCGGUUACUAAGUUGCUGAACCUCUUUAUCAGUAACAGGUUCACUCUUGGCCACAUGUGUCAAAAAAAAAUGUUUCAGUUUCGUGCUUUUUUUUUUAAUUCAAAAGUGCAGGCUUUUAUACAGAUGAUCUAUUUGCAAAAGAAAUGGCCUUAUUCAUCUUUUUACAUCUCAAAUAUUUUAUUUUACCUAGGCUAUUUAAAAUGUAUACAGUUCAACCUGUAAAUCUGAGUAUAUAUAAUGAGCAAAAGUCUAAACAUUCCUGUGUUUUUCUCAAAGCAAUAUUGUUUGGGAAAUUUUGUACUAAGAGCUGAAAAAUGUUGGAACUUUGGGAUCAGGAUAUGUUUUUUUGGGGGGAGGAAACAGAAUGAUUAGUGAUGAGACUGUUAGAACAUUAGAACACUUUUCUCAGAGAACCUUAUGUAGCUUAUCAUCCUGCAGUGUUUUAGGCCUGGGAAAGGAAGCCCUGAGUAGUGCAGUAAAGCAGCACAGUGAGAUUUUUGACCUUGGGACUGCAUAUCCUUGGUCUACUGUGGUCUUGAGCAUGAGUCUAAAGCUUUCUCGGAAUUUUGUUUCCUCUUCUGUUGAGUUGAAAAGAAGAUAUUGGGGUUAUGGGGUUAAUGGGAGUUAAAUUGCUAGGAAUAGCUCAGGAAUAUGGUAAAGGCUUAUCAAAUAUAGUUAUUACUGAUAAUGAUAUUGAAUAUUAUAGGGAUUAGAAGAAAUCUUUAUUAGAAGCUAUUAUUUUUUUUUCCUAUGCUUGGAUUGAGAAAGAAAGAAAAAUGAACUGGUCUCAAAAUUUCUCUUGGGAUGCUAAUAUCAAGUCAUUUCAAUGAUUUUUCCCUGCCUGGUAAGAAUGGAAACCCAAAAAAAGACAAUCCAUAAUCUGAUCACUAUAUAUUGCUGUUGCACUUGCUUCCCAAGGGAAAGCUAUUUAAAAAUUGUGUUGCACCUACAUAUAGUCCCCAAAACAGAAUAAUGUUUGGUAUAUUGUCAGAACUGGAUUUGGAACCCAUUUCAAUUGCUUACUAGCUGUGUGAUCAAAGGCAUGUGACUUAACCUUGAAUCUCAACGUCUUUAUCUAAUUCAACAAUUGAUUUCCAGGGUGUAUGUGAAAAGAUUUGUAUGGCAUGAUAAAGGCACUGUGUGUGUAUUACAGUUAUCAUUGCUAGUUCUUGGGACAAUCAUCAUGUGACAGAAACAGCAGCAGGUCCUGGUGCCUGCGAGGACUUCAUGGAUUCAGCAGCAACCUUCGGAAGAAAUCCUACUUGGAUGGAUAUAAUACAACCUGCUAAGUGCUAAGACACUUAGCAGGUUGUAUUAUCAUUGUCCGAGUCUAUGGCUCUCGUCUGCUAGACUAAAUCCCCUAAGGGCGAGGACAGUGCCUUGUUCAUCUUUGCAGUCACAGUGCCUAACCCCGUGCACAUUGUGGGCCUCAUUAAAUGUUUGUUGAAUGAAAAAAUGAAUCAUCAACAGACAUUAAUUGGGCGCCUGCUCUGUGAUCUCCAUGGGCUCAACUUGUCCCCGCCAGUUGCCUUCAACGCCAAGCUCUCUUCAAAAUGCUUACUCCUGAAGUUCAUUUGUGUCAUCUGAUUCUCAUGCCAAGGACUCUUAUUUUGUACAAUGAUAGCAAUAGAUUUCAUUUUGAGUACUGUCUCCAGUUGAUUGGUAAUGUCUGCCUUAAGUAUGUUUUAUAACAAGGAUUCUGAUACCAGGGCUCAUCUCAGUGUAAAACAGAUUUGUGUAACUAGUUAGUGAUGCUUACCUUGUGUGGAAGAAGGGGCAGUAGCAACACAAGUGCCUCAGAUAUGUGACACCUGAUAGUUUUAGUGAUCUACUCCAUAGCUAUGCCUGCAUUUUAGUCUUGGCUUCUUGUAGAUGUUGCAUGGCUACUAUUGCUGCUGCCGUUGCUGCUGGUGCUGCUGCUGGUGCUACUGCUACUAGACUUGUUGCUAUUUGUUCCUUCACUGGGGCUAGUGUUAUCAUUGUUUAAGCAGGAGCAUCGUCUUCACAGUCUUGGUUUUACCUUUACCCCAAUUAUCUCCAUACUUGAAUUACCAGAAUAGGACUCCUCUUUCCUGUUCAUGAUCGCACACUCUCAUAUUAGCGUGCCUAAUCAUUGUGCCAUGGGUAGCUUUUUUUUUUUUGUUUGCAGAUGUGACAACCAGAAUGCAAUUUAUACCACAACUUCAUGGCCCUUCAGUGAGUCACAUCAACACCCUUUUAAUAUGGGUCAAAAUUGACUGUGUUGGGACAGGAACGGAAAAGAGGCCAAAUGCAAUAAAAAGAAGAGUUGCUUUAGAGAAGGGUUGCAAGAGUCUUACAUGGAAGUGAUUUGGAAGAGAAACAACGGAUUACACAAGGCUAAAAAAAUGCGUGUAGCUACGGCUUUCUGAGUUUUGUGCCCUCUGACUAUUAUUAUCUGGCUCACCUGAAUUAUGCAUAGACU